CAGUAGCCGCGGUAAUACGUAGGGUGCAAGCGUUAAUCGGAAUUACUGGGCGUAAAGCGUGCGCAGGCGGUUAUAUAAGACAGAUGUGAAAUCCCCGGGCUCAACCUGGGAACUGCAUUUGUGACUGUAUAGCUAGAGUACGGCAGAGGGGGAUGGAAUUCCGCGUGUAGCAGUGAAAUGCGUAGAUAUGCGGAGGAACACCGAUGGCGAAGGCAAUCCCCUGGGCCUGUACUGACGCUCAUGCACGAAAGCGUGGGGAGCAAACAGGAUUAGAGACCCCUGUAGUCCCUGUCUCUUAUAA
rnacentral:rRNA from 1 species